GCACACGUACUACAACAAUAAACAGUUGGAAGCGAGAGGACUGAGGAGAGAUGUCUCCGUGUGUCUCCAAGCCUCCUUGAUUUCACUUGCAUUCCUGGCUGAUAGUGUAGCGCUGUGUGAGCAGAAAGGCGAGGAGCAGAGCAGAACGGGCUGCUGCACAACCUUACACGUGAAAAGGGAUUGCUGUAAAAGACAGCGGGAAUAAGAGUAUGUGACUUCGAGAUGGACAGAGACAGACAAACAGAAAAGACCGAAAUAGAAAAGGAGGACGUGUGAGUGGCAGACACAGACGGAGAGGACAUGCAGAAUAUAGAAAGAGGAAAAAAACGAAGGCCGACAUCUGUCGUGGGGACCAUCUGGUCUCUUAUCUCUUCAGUCUGACAUCAGAGAGCAGUGUUUCCCAACCCUGGACAAGCACACCUGAUUCCACUUGUCAACGAAUCAUCAAGCCCUCAAUGAGUUGAAUGAGAUCUGUUCCCUGAACUGGUUCCAACCCCUGUUAUAAAUCUGAAACACCAUCUGGACAGCAUUGAAAGCUUUUCCCUUAGUUACAUAGUAUAACAAUUGGACAGACCUAGUGACAAAUCAUUCACCUUAGGUUGAACAAUACAGUGAGCUCAUGUGAGAG